rnacentral:rRNA from 1 species
UGGGGAAUUUUGGACAAUGGGCGAAAGCCUGAUCCAGCAAUGCCGCGUGUGUGAAGAAGGCCUUCGGGUUGUAAAGCACUUUUGUCCGGAAAGAAAUCCUUGGCUCUAAUACAGUCGGGGGAUGACGGUACCGGAAGAAUAAGCACCGGCUAACUACGUGCCAGCAGCCGCGGUAAUACGUAGGGUGCAAGCGUUAAUCGGAAUUACUGGGCGUAAAGCGUGCGCAGGCGGUUUGCUAAGACCGAUGUGAAAUCCCCGGGCUCAACCUGGGAACUGCAUUGGUGACUGGCAGGCUAGAGUAUGGCAGAGGGGGGUAGAAUUCCACGUGUAGCAGUGAAAUGCGUAGAGAUGUGGAGGAAUACCGAUGGCGAAGGCAGCCCCCUGGGCCAAAUACUGACGCUCAUGCACGAAAGCGUGGGGAGCAAACAGGAUUAGAUACCCUGGUAGUCCACGCCCUAAACGAUGUCAACUAGUUGUUGGGGAUUCAUUUCCUAGUAACGUAGCUAACGCGUGAAGUUGACCGCCUGGGGAGUACGGUCGCAAGAUUAAAACUCAAAUGAAUUGACGGGGUCAUAGCUGUUUCCU